rnacentral:rRNA from 1 species
AAUGAACGCUGGCGGCAGGCCUAAAACAUGCAAGUCGAACGCUCUAGCAAUAGAGAGUGGCGCACGGGUGAGUAACACGUGGGAAUAUGCCUUUUGGUACGGAACAACGUCUGGAAACGGACGCUAAUACCGUAUGGUCCCUCCGGGGUAAAGAUUUAUCGCCAAAAGAUUAGCCCGCGUCUGAUUAGCUAGUUGGUGAGGUAAUGGCUCACCAAGGCGACGAUCAGUAGCUGGUCUGAGAGGACGAUCAGCCACACUGGGUCUGAGACACGGCCCAGACUCCUACGGGAGGCAGCAGUUAGGAAUAUUGGACAAUGGGCGCAAGCCUGGUCCAGCCAUGCCGCGUGAGUGAUGAAGGCCUUCGGGUUGUAAAGCUCUUUAGUCCACGAAUAUAAUGACUGUAGUGGAAGAAUAAGCCCCGGCUAACUUCGUGCCAGCAGCCGCCGUAAAAC